AUUCCAGCUCCAAUAGCGUAUAUUAAAGUUGUUGCAGUUAAAAAGCUCGUAGUUGGAUUUCUGGUGGGCGGACAAGAGCGGCAUGAAGUGUCAGCUUGCGUUCCCCGCCAUCCUUCUGUUAAACCGGUACGGUGUUUGUUCGCUGACCGGCGGCUCAGAUAUUUUACCUUGAGAAAAUUAGAGUGUUUCAGGCAGGCUCGGCCGGGAUACAUUAGCAUGGAAUAAUGGAAUAGGACUCCAGCCUCUUCUGUUGGUCUGAGGGGUUGAAGUAAUGGUUAAUAGGGAUAGUUGGGGGCAUUAGUACUUAACUGUCAGAGGUGAAAUUCUUGGAUUUGUUAAAGACUAACUUAUGCGAAAGCAUUUGCCAAGGAUGUUUUCAUUA
rnacentral:rRNA from 1 species